AAAUAAGCCGCAGUAUUUUGACUGUGCUAAGGUAGCAUAAUAGUUUGUCCAAAAUAAUUGCGGGCUGGAAUAAAGGAGUUGACGACACUUUGUCUUUUUUAACUAAAGAUUGGAAUUUGAUAUUUACAUCAAAAAGUGUAAAUUUCUAGGGGGACGAUAAGACCCUAUAAAACUUUAAUUUAGGGUAUUUUAUAGUAUUUAGGAUUAUAUAAAAUUUUAUAAAUUAGGCUGGGGCGGCACCUAAGAGGCUCUAGGAAAGAAAACAUAUUUAGUGAAUUUAAAGAUCUUAAAAAGACGUAGAAUAAGUUACUUUAGGGAUAACAGCAUAAUUUUUUUAUAUAGAACGCAUAAAAUAAAAAGACUUAUGACCUCGAUGUUGAAUUGAGGGGCCUAAUUUAAGCAGAAAUAAAUAUUGGGGGUCUGUUCGACCUUUAUUACC
rnacentral:rRNA from 1 species